rnacentral:misc_RNA from 1 species
GUACUGGCAGUGAAUUGCGGAACGCAACCUUUGUUUGAGAUACAUCCGAGAUACGAGAACUCGGUGCGACAACUAUAUCCAAGAAAUCUAACCGAGAUCUAGCAUGGACACAAGGCUUUAGCGUGUUCGUUUCUUCGAUGAGAACGAGCCAAGGUCUACGCAUUCGGUAAGGUCGUGACGCGAUCGGAGCGAUGCGUAGGUUCGUACGGUUGUUCUUGCUCGUCGUUUAUUCGCGUAGCUUUAGAGCAACGCGAGCAACGUGAUCGGUGGUUCGUCAACGUGAUGACGUCAGAUCUUGAAGCAUAGGCUGAGAACGCGUUUGAAGGCGACUAGGGCGUGAAAGCGUGCGUUCCUUCAUCUCGGCUGAAAGUAUGUGCAAAUAGCAGCGCGUGUAUUCGCUUGAUCUGCGAGAUAAUUAUGUUCGGUGCUGCUUUGACGUGAUCGACAGUGAAUAGUGUACCAUGUUUCGCUGCAUUCCGAUUUUUAAGGGAUGUAAUAGGCAGGUGGAAUACGUUGACAAGCGUCACUGCUCUCUGCCGUGCGUCCCCGACGAUAUUUUACGAUACUCUCGGAGUCUGGAGGAGCUUCUGCUGGACGCGAAUCAUAUCCGUGAUUUGCCAAAAAAUUUCUUUAGACUUCAGAGAUUACGAAAGCUUGGCCUCAGUGACAAUGAGAUAAAUCGUUUGCCACCAGACAUUCAGAACUUUGAGAAUCUUGUGGAAUUGGACGUAUCCAGGAAUGAUAUACCAGACAUUCCUGAGAACAUCAAAAACCUACGAGCGCUACAAGUGGCGGACUUCAGUAGCAAUCCUAUUCCAAGACUUCCAGCAGGAUUUGUACAAUUAAGAAACUUAACUGUGCUCGGACUUAAUGAUAUGUCCCUUACGAACUUGCCACCUGAUUUUGGAAGCUUGGAAGCACUGCAGUCAUUGGAAUUAAGAGAGAAUUUACUCAGAUCCUUGCCUGAAUCACUCUCUCAGCUCUUCAAACUCGAACGGCUGGAUCUCGGUGAUAAUGAAAUUGAGGAAUUGCCUGCACAUGUAGGAAAGUUACCAGCGCUGCAAGAGUUGUGGCUCGAUCACAAUCAAUUGCAACACUUGCCCCCUGAAAUAGGCGAACUCAAGACGCUGGCAUGCUUAGAUGUUUCUGAAAAUCGUUUGGAAGAUCUCCCCAAUGAAAUUGGCGGACUCGAGUCAUUGACAGAUUUGCAUUUAUCGCAGAAUGUUAUCGAAAAAUUACCUGAUGGACUCGGCGAACUCAAGAAAUUAACUAUUCUUAAAGUAGACCAAAAUAGACUUUCUACUUUAAACCCGAAUAUAGGAAGGUGCGAGAAUUUACAAGAGCUGAUUCUUACAGAGAAUUUUCUCUUAGAGUUACCGGUGUCUAUAGGCAAACUCCACAAUUUAAAUAAUUUGAAUGUUGAUAGAAAUAGUGUACAAUCUCUACCAAUAGAAAUUGGAAAUUUAAAGAAACUAGGUGUACUAUCUUUAAGAGACAAUAAAUUACAAUAUCUUCCAACCGAAGUGGGACAAUGCAGUGCACUUCACGUUUUAGAUGUAUCUGGAAAUAGGUUACAGUAUUUACCAUAUUCUUUAAUCAACUUGAGUUUAAAGGCAGUAUGGUUAAGUGAAAACCAGGCGCAACCGAUGCUAACGUUCCAAACGGACGUAGAUGAGGAAACAGGGCAAGAAGUACUAACCUGUUUUCUCCUGCCACAAUUAGAAUUCCAUCCUGAUGAUUCAGGUAGAGUGGGAAUAUUGACUGGUAUGAGAAAUGUUCAUGGUGAAACACGUGAGUUGAGCGAUGACGAAGGUUGGCAAGAAAGAGAAGCAUCAAGGACGCAUUCAGUGAAAUUUACUGAUGAACCACCAGAAGCCGAUAAAGAGACACCAUUCGUACGUCAGAAUACGCCACAUCCAAAAGAACUGAAAGCUAAGGCACAUAAAUUAUUCAGCAAAGGAAGAAGUGAAAGUCGAUCGGCAUCCACAGAUGAACAGGAUGUUUCUCAAACAUUUGGAUUAGAUAAAACCGAAUCAGAGACACCGAUUAAUUCUGCAGACAUGCCACAGGCUGCUUCUGAGCAAGAACAGCUUGUGGAAUGUAGUACUAUACAAAAUGACCAUAAUGUAGCCAUAUCUGAAUCAGAUAACAUGGGUGCUCAGUUUAAUAAAGAAACAGAGAAUUCUGUUCAGUGUGUAGAAUUUAACGCAAAUGUGGAAACUGAAAAUUCUGUCUCAGAAUCAAAGGAAGAGGAUGAAGAGGAAUAUGAAAGCGAAGAUGUGCAGAAACAUGUUGAGUUCAAUAUUAUAGAAGACCCAAAUUAUGAAGAUGGUUCUGAUUCUAAUAAGCCCAAUAAAUUACAACGUAGAGACACUCCGCAUCAUUUAAAAAAUAAGCGCAUUCAACCAAUUGACAAAGAGAAAGUUGCAGCCAUUAUCGCACAGGCAUUGAAAAGGGUUGACGCUGAAUCUUCUGCACCUGCAUCUACAAAAAUAGAAUCUCCUGAAACAUUUGAUUCACAUAGUCAAGAUGCAACAUCUGACAUUGAACCAACAUUGGAGAUACGUGAAGAACAAUAUGAAAUUCAUAUAGAAAGAACAACAGGUGGUUUAGGCCUGUCAAUUGCCGGUGGUAAAGGAUCGACACCUUUUAAAGGUGAAGAUGAGGGAAUUUUUAUUUCAAAAGUUACUGAAGGUGGACCUGCAGAUCUGGCUGGUUUAAGGAUAGGAGAUAAAGUAAUAUCUGUAAAUGGAGUAUCGGUAGUAAAUGUAGAUCAUUACGAUGCCGUAGAAGUGCUAAAAGCGUGUGGACGUGUCCUUGUAUUAGUUAUUAUAAGGGAAAUCACAAGGAUAGUUCCACCAUAUGAGGAAACGACGAGAAAAGAUUCCGUAUGUUCUAGUUUGAGUACAAGUAGAGCACCAAGUGCAACAUCAUAUGUUUCGUCCACAGCAUUAUCGCAUACUUUGGAAAAUGGUGAUACGUCCACAUCCCAUGAUACUCCGAAGACUAGAAAGAUUCCUGAACCUAUAACAACUAUAAAAUCGAAUAGUGACCCUUUGGUGCCGGUUCUUGUUCAUACAACAUUAAUACGUGAUCAAAAUGGGCUCGGAUUUAGUAUUUCUGGUGGUGAAGGUACAUCUAAAAAUAAUAGCGAUGUAAUAACCAUUUCGAGAAUAACAGAUGGCGGAGUUGCCCAAAAAGAUGGCAAGCUGUUGGUUGGAGAUAAAGUGAUAUCUAUUAACGGAGUAGAGAUGAAAGGAGCGAAACAUGAGCAAGCGGUGGCUUUACUUACCGGCUUGGAAAGAUUUGUUCGAUUGGUAGUCGAACGAGAAAUACCACUUUCUCAAGCGAAUCCUUCUACUAUCGUAACUCCUUCCGAAAAAUCACCACGUGUUAUAGGUGCGCCCAAACCAUACACAGGACUGUAUAAUGCUAACAGUUACAUGGCGAACAGACCUGGAUACGGCGGAUAUCGUCGCUCCAUUGACGCUGAUAAAGCUCUAUCGCCCAGUCCUACGUCUAAGACACCACCACCACCACCGCCACUACCAGCGACCUUUCCUGUGAAAUCCGAUGUCAUCAAUGACGCGCUUAAGAUGAAUGGCAUAACUGAAUCGGGCAACGCGUUGAAGAAUGUUUCGCCAGUGUCCCCUAGUUCAACAAUUAAUCAAGCAUAUCCGCAACCUGCUCCGCGACAUAGUGUUUUGCAGCCGACGUUCGCAUCUACGAAUAAUGCCAGUUCUGCAGGAACAACUCCCAGCGUAAAGCCCUCGCAGAGACCAGCGUCUCCGCAGGAAGAUAUACAGGUACCGAAGCCAAUCACCAACGAGGAAUUUCAGGCUAUGAUCCCCGCUCAUUUCCUCCGACCACCAACAUCCUCGCCUUCACCAGACUCCCAUCAAGGCCCAAUUGUGACAGUGACGAUAAAACAGCCCGAUAAUUUGCCUGGAGAUGUUAGCUUUCCUCCAGCUCCUACCGCACUCGGUAAAGUUACUGAAAUCAUCACAAAGAGCACGCUCACCGAGACCGUCGUAACUCGAGUGACCGACAACCAGUUGAUACAACCGCUUAUUAUUGAGGAUGUUGUCCUUGUAAAAGAAGGCUCUUUGGGCUUCAGUAUCAUAGGAGGGACAGAUCAUUCGUGUACUCCGUUCGGUGCAAAGGAACCUGGAAUUUUUAUAUCUCAUGUUGUUCCUGGUGGCAUAGCGGCCAAGUCUGGUAAAUUAAGAAUGGGUGAUAGGAUACUGAAGGUAAAUGGGACUGAUGUGACAAAAGCUACUCAUCAAGAAGCAGUAAUGGAGCUUUUAAGACCAGGGGAUCAAAUUGUGCUUACUAUUCAACAUGAUCCACUUCCAGAGUGUUAUCAGCUGGUCGAAAUAGAGUACAUCCCUGUGACAGAAUUGGUAAUAAUAAGGGAAAUAGGCGAAAAACUUGGUAUGCAUAUUAAAGGAGGGCUAAGGGGACAAAAGGGUAAUCCACUCGAUCAUACCGACGAGGGCGUUUUUAUAUCGAAAAUUAAUUCCGGUGGUGCAGCUAAGAGAGACGGACGGUUAAAAGUUGGUAUGAGACUGCUAGAGGUCAAUGGCACAUCGUUACUAGGUGCAACUCAUCAAGAAGCUGUAAACAUCCUUCGGUGCUCGGGAAAUACGAUUACUUUGGUUGUAUGUAAAGGUUACGACAAAAGUGAGAUUGAACCGAUAUUAUCGUUAUCCGACAGUAGAGAUCUCAAAGAAACUAAAAUACCCCACGAGUUGAAGGAUUCGACUGCGGAUGGCACCAAAUCUCUGUCGCAAAGUGUAUCUAGUUUAGACCGAGACGACGAGACGACUGCGACAAUUAGGGAGCAAGAAGAAAUGAAUGCUGAACUUGAAUCUUGGGAGAAAGAAGAAGAACGCGCAUUAGUUGAACAAAGAGAAAAAUCCACGCCCGAGAAAGUAUUAGACGUCGUACGAGCAGCGGAAUCAUUAGUAAGCAAAUCAAAUAGUCCUGUUGAUAUGAUACCGCCAAAAUCACCCGGAGGUACCAAAGAUCUUAAAACCACUACCAUUGUCAUGAGUAAACAUACAUUAGCAGCUCAAAAUCCUAAUUCAAGAACAAAUCAGACAGCUGGAACGUCAAGAGACUUUUCUUCGUCAAAAUCAUCCACGCUGCCCACUCCUGCUAAGGCAGCGAGUUUCGAACGUUCCACUUCUAUGCAAACCUUACCUUCUCCGACGAAGAAAAAGUCUUUGUCGAAACGUAGUAUUACGUUUGCCGAUCUGCCGCCAACUUUAAAAGAGAGCUCGAACAAUGCUUAUCCGUCUCAUGUCGAAUCCGCAUCGCCUACAAACGAGCGACAAAUUCGACCGUUGCAGGAUACACUUACUUCUCCCCCUUCACAAAUUAUGUUCUGCGAAAAACCUGCACAUGCACGUUUCCGACUUCCCCCAACGCCUUUAACUGCUCCUGAAUGCAGUGGAAAUAUUGACACUAAGGCUUCCUUUAGCAAACGACAGAUAGCACGCUCUGUUGAUGGCAAGUUUCAGGUUGAGCAGUCUCCAACUUCAUCCCCGACACCACCACUGACAAAAAUGUCAGUCAGUGAUAAGAAGAGAUUAUUCGAAAGUGCUAUGGAAGAACACUUGAAACCGUCCCCUAAACCAGAUAAAAUAUUCAGUUUUUUAAGUCAAGAUGAGGUAGAGAAAAUGAAACAAGAGGAAGAAAAAAAGAUUGCAACUUUGACGCGAGACGAACUCAAAUCAUGGGCACAACUUGACGAAAAUGAAGGUCUCGAAGAUUUGGACCCAAUGGAUGACAAUGGCCGACCUAAGGCCUUAUCUCGGAUGAAGACGAAGAACACUUUUUGAGCCCAGCGGAGCAGCGAGCACUUAGAGCGGAAAAACGUGCCGCUUGGCGUCAAGCGCGUCUUAAGUCUCUCGAGCAGGAUGCACUCCAGGCACAGAUGGUGAUCAAAAAGAUGA